AAACUACAGCUAGACCAUAGACUGCAUAUUAUAUUAUACAUAUAGCUAUGUGUGGUCUUAAAAUCAAAUGACGACACAGUAUGUCACCCACUUCUGUCAAUGCAAUGUCAACUGUAAUUUUCACAUUAAGUUUGAAGAAAAAUGGUUUGAAAAUAUCUUGUCAAAGCCAAAAUUAAGGACAUAUGUGCGUGUCAAGAGCUGGUAUUCAUUGGUCGAGGUUGGUCGAUUCACAAGUAUUCAGGAGGAAAACCAAUUAUGUGAGCUGUUUGAUUUGGAAAAGUGAGUCCUAUUUUCUUUUAUAAAGCUAUGAUGAUUUUAGAGUCAAUUUUCCAUGAAAUGUCUCGACAAAACCCUGAUAUAUUCUGGUGUACAGAUGAGCAAACACUGGAAUGGCUGUUUAAUUUGGAAGUGUUUAAGUUUGCUAACUUUGUCUCAAAGGCCUGGAAAAGAAGGCAAAAUGGAUUUUUUAAUUUGUAUUUAUUCUGAUUUCGCUGGUUUAUGAAUUCUGCUUUGUUGCCAUUGCUGGUUUACAAGGCCCUAACUGUUAGGCUCAAUUUAUUUCCAACCUUCUCACUGGUUAUAGCCAAUCAUAUGUCUCAUAUCAUUAAGCAUGUGUCUCCUGAAUGUGUCCUAGAAAAAAACAAAAUCAGGUGAAGUUGCAUUUGGCCACUAUGGUGCUGUUCUCUGGAACAAACUGCGUGAUCACCUGAGAUCUGUUGUAACUGCAUCUUCUUUUAAAUGCAGCCUUAAAACAUUGCUUGUCUUUUAGGGGUUUGGUAGUUUUGGUGUGUAUGGGUGGCUGAAAUGUUAUUUUAUUUAUGUGGAGUAUUUUAUGUGUUUUCCAUCUGAUUUGUUCAAUGUUUUGCUUGACAAAACAAUAAAAAUGUAAUUUAUUAAUUCUGUAUAUUAACACAGUGUCACACUAUCUGUUUGUUCCCUUGAGGUUUGUAUAUUAAGGGCAUUGUACCACAGUACAAGCAUGUUUAAUUGUCUAAAUUGCUCAUAUUUGUGUACAAUUAUGCACCCACGCUUAUAUUUGUAACUUCCUUAAUUAAUUUAAAACCUGCCUGCCCAUCAUGUCCAUCUGAACGAGUUUACUUGGAUAACGUCAGCUCUUUUAAACUUCCUAACCAAGACUACCAUAGGACUGCAAAUAAGGCUAAUUUCAAUAUCAAUCUGCCGAUAAUUUUCUCCAUUAAUCGCUUAACGUAAUCAUUUUUACGGAAAAUAGUGAAAAAUGUUCCAGAGACAUGUUCAGAUGUUUGUUCCACAACUGUCCAAAACCCCUACAGCGUUUACAAUAACAGUAAAACAGAGAAAACUAGCAAAUCGUCUCACUUUGAUAAGCUGAAGUCAAGACUGUUUUGCUUAAAAAAACAAUCAACAAUUAAUGACUAAUGUGUUCAGAUCUACCCCUCUGGGAUUAAUCUGCUGGUUUUGUUCUCCUCUUCAUAGCUAACUUUGCAAACAUUAGACCAUUAUUGCUAGCUAACUUAUAACAAUAAUUUACACUGUUGCUACCUAGCUAGCGUUAAAGUUAGUUAAAAAGUUAGUUAAAAUUACGCAGCUAACGUUACAGGGUCGAUGAAUCGCUAAGUAUCCGGCACAACACCGGCCAUGAUGUCCACACUCUGAAGAUCUAACAGUAAAUAUGCAGGAAAAAUCUACCUAUUAUACAUGUACAUGUACCUGUGAGGUGGUGCUGGAAGAGGCUGCAGGGGAAACUACAUGACAAAAGGGACGGAUGGGACAAGAUGGAGUGGAGUGCCAUCUGUGGUGGUUUGAGAUCACUGAGCUGAGUCUCUACAUCAGGCCCUACUCAGGGUUCGAAUUCCUGUGAGGAUGAGGAUGAGCCUACCCAUGUGGUGUAUGCUGGUCCUGCUUCUCUGUUCGAGCAGUAAAGGGAUGGUUGUGGAUAAAGUCAGACUGGCAAGAUUGUCUUCACAUCAGAUGGAAAAAGGACAGAAAACCAUCCAAAACCUCAAAAGGCAUUCAGAUGGGACAUUCAGCAGCGACUUCACCAACUAUCUUGAUAAGAUUAAGGCUAAAGAUUUUGUGGAGUGGCUGGCCAGCACCAAACCAGAAGGAUGUCAUAAAGACCUGCUCUACAAUACAGCAGCAGAAGUUUAAGACAGCCCAGACCACAUGUACUGUACACUUGAUACUGCUUUACAUCAUCCAGCAGCAAAAGAGAAGAUAAAUCCUCUGCAACAAUUUUAGAAACCUUUGGUCAUUUUAUUUAUUCUGUGGUGUUUUCAAAUAAAAUGCACAUUUUGCACUUUGCCGUUUCCACAAUGAGCAACAAAGUGAAGAAAUAUAAUCAAGAUGUUCAA